AACAAAUUGAGAAGGAGCAGGAGCGUGAGAGAGAGAGACAGCACUCUGCUAAAGCUCUGACCGAGCUGGAGAAGAUGGUUCAGGUUCUGGUGGAUCGAGGUCUGAUCCGCAUUGAGAAAUCUGAAUCCGGUUCUCUGGAUUUACACAUUAUACCAGCCGCAGACACAACAGAUAAGAGUAUAACGGAAAUAAAGGCCUCACCUGUGACACAGUCUCCGCCCCCUCCUCCUGCCCCCGCCCCUCCACCACCUCCUCCUCUCCCCCCAUGAGUGUAGCUCCGCCCUCUUUGUCUCUACCUGGGAGGACGGCCACUGAAAAGACAGGUGUGAAAGGUAAGAAGCCAAUCAAGACUAAGUAUCGUAUGCCACUGCUUAACUGGCAGGCUCUCAUGGCAGGAACAGGUGGCGGGACUGUCUUCACAGAGCUGGAUGAUGACAGUGUGCUUGGGGUCAGUU